rnacentral:rRNA from 1 species
AUGCAAGUCGAGCGGGGGAAGGUAGCUUGCUACUGGACCUAGCGGCGGACGGGUGAGUAAUGCUUAGGAAUCUGCCUAUUAGUGGGGGACAACAUCUCGAAAGGGAUGCUAAUACCGCAUACGUCCUACGGGAGAAAGCAGGGGAUCUUCGGACCUUGCGCUAAUAGAUGAGCCUAAGUCGGAUUAGCUAGUUGGUGGGGUAAAGGCCUACCAAGGCGACGAUCUGUAGCGGGUCUGAGAGGAUGAUCCGCCACACUGGGACUGAGACACGGCCCAGACUCCUACGGGAGGCAGCAGUGGGGAAUAUUGGACAAUGGGGGGAACCCUGAUCCAGCCAUGCCGCGUGUGUGAAGAAGGCCUUAUGGUUGUAAAGCACUUUAAGCGAGGAGGAGGCUACUCUAGUUAAUACCUAGGGAUAGUGGACGUUACUCGCAGAAUAAGCACCGGCUAACUCUGUGCCAGCAGCCGCGGUAAUACAGAGGGUGCGAGCGUUAAUCGGAUUUACUGGGCGUAAAGCGUGCGUAGGCGGCUUAUUAAGUCGGAUGUGAAAUCCCCGAGCUUAACUUGGGAAUUGCAUUCGAUACUGGUGAGCUAGAGUAUGGGAGAGGAUGGUAGAAUUCCAGGUGUAGCGGUGAAAUGCGUAGAGAUCUGGAGGAAUACCGAUGGCGAAGGCAGCCAUCUGGCCUAAUACUGACGCUGAGGUACGAAAGCAUGGGGAGCAAACAGGAUUAGAUACCCUGGUAGUCCAUGCCGUAAACGAUGUCUACUAGCCGUUGGGGCCUUUGAGGCUUUAGUGCGCAGCUAACGCGAUAAGUAGACCGCCUGGGGAGUACGGUCGCAAGACUAAAACUCAAUGAAUUGACGGGGGCCCGCACAAGCGGUGGAGCAUGU